ACACUUUAUUAAUGACUCAGGUCAUGAAACUGUUUAAUAUUUUUAUUGUUGAAAAAAUAAUGAGUAGAGGGACUUGUACUGCUUGAGUUCCUCUCAUGUACACUGAUAUUUUCUGUUCUGCUUCAGGCUCAUUAUAAGACAUGUUAAAUCCAGUUUAUCAAAAUUCAAACACUCUUUAAAUUCCACAGUGAGGCGUUCCAGAGCUCAUUGUCUAGACAGGGUUCACAGAGCAGUCCAUGUUGAGUUCCUCGCUCAACCAUUAAUGUGUUGGACUUCACAGAGAUCCGACACUGGGGAGAGAAGCUGAAUUUGAGCUGCCAGUUUUCAACAGGUUUUGUUUUCAUGAUACUAACACCAAACCACAAGCACUCACACGGUUUAAUCCCAGUCAGCCAUAGUAACUGCAUUUACACCUUAAAGUUGGCAUCAGGCAUUGCAUCAAGACACUUGAUGGAUCAGUGUUGUUUCUCAGAAGAACAGUGUUGGAGGAUACUGCAGCCAACCUGAACCACACAUGGACACGCAGAGAGAAGUGUGUAUACAGCAAACUUUCAGUAAAACCAGCUGGACAAUAUGUUUGCAAGACACUUUUUUUGUCCUCUAAUGCUGCAUCUCUGUCAAAAGGGAAAGACUGUUAAAAUAGAACUCAUCUUGGCUUUGAACUGGUAACUGCAGCUCAGCUUAGUAAACAUCUGAUAAAUGCAGUAAGAACAGACACUAACAAUGAAACAAUAUUUGGAGUAUUUCAAAUCACUGCUGUCUAUUUUUAAAAGCACCCAAACAGAUUUUAGACUGAGUUGAGCUGCUGGUUUCACAUCACUUCAGUGUGCUAUGAAAUGCUUAGUUAACACUUUCUUUGCAUGUGCUGCAGCAUAUUCAGUUGUUGCUCUAUGGUGUGUCGUAGUGCAGUGUUGACAAUAAAUAGGGAUAAAAUAAUGUUUUCAACGAGUCUCUUCACAAACAAUUUCUGUUUUUUCUUUUUUGUGAGAGAUUAUCCUCCAGCUAAAGUUUAAACUGCAAUACUGCACUUUUACUUUAAAUGGUCACAACACUGAACUUUCACUUUGAUUUUUAAUUUAUUGUAACCUGUAUGUACUUUUUGUUUGGGCAUGAUUCACAUACAUUUAUAUAUAUCAUAUUCUUGACAAUACAGUACAGGAUGUACUGUAUUUCCAGGUACGCUACAAAUGUUUUUGAUAAAGGGACUCAGUUGUACAUUUAGCCAGCUCUUCAUUUUAAGACAGAGCUCCUUCUAAAUACUCAAUUCAGUCUUUUUCCACUGCAGAAACUUCCUGAUUGUUUUAGGGCAGCCAUGACCUCUGUGCAUGUUCCAACUGCAAGAACCAUCCCUGUGGAAUCAGGCCCAUUUUCAGGGUAAAAAAGAAUUCAGACUCCAGUUCAGGUAUUUCUGAGCUUACAAACUGCUAUGUUGGUCUCAGUGCUGACUGGUUAAACUUGGAGAGGACAAGCGUCAUUUUUCUGCCCCUUGAUGUCCAUAUCCUAUAGCAGUCGUUCUCUGUCUACCAUUACAGCUAACAAUGUAAAAUUCAAUAAUUCACCACUAGACCUGGCGUAACAUCCUGUAACUACUAUUUGUUGAUGUUUUAGUGCACUUAGCGUUAACGUUGCAGUUGAUGCUGUUGGAUCUAUACCACAAUGGAAACAAAUGCUGAAAUGACCGAUUAUGUGGUUGUUCCUGUAAAGGUCCAAGUUCCUGCAGUGGAAAUCCACCUAAUGCAGUAACCAAAUGAUUUCAAUAAAUAAAAGUUGCUUUGAACAUGUCUGGCAGUAAUGUAGAGUACACCAUCUGUAGUGGUAUGAAACAUGUCACAUCACCUUUAAGGUCCUUUUAUUGGGGAGCAACUACUUUUACUUACAUAAUUAGCUCACAUGAGAAAAAAUGUGCAGAGCAAAUGUCAUAGCUAUUCUAUUAGUCUGCAUGACAGACAAUUAAGAUCAAGGAACAAAAACCAAGCCAUAAUCGAUCUGUUAAUGUCUUAGAAAACAAAGAAGACAAAUCACGUUCUAGCCUCCAACGUUUCCUGGUUCUGAGGAGAGCAGUUCGAAUGUAAACAAAUGAGUAGAGCAUUUAUAAAGAGAAACUGGAAUACAGCUUCACUUUGACUCAUCCAAACAGACAAUGUCACUGUUGCAUCCUAAUCAUCAGUGGUAAAAAGUCAGAAAAGCCAGGUAAUGCACCAGUUUAACAUCUGCUGACCACACCUGGACUGAUACUCGUGUUACAUCUUCAUGGACCCCUCUGUCCCAGUCAGUGCGGUCCCUUCUAAAGACAGGUAGAUAGGACACAGUGUGAGAAACAAGCAUGUACUGAAGUCUUAUAGCUUUCCAGUAUUGGUAAAAGUGCAUCAAGACAUCAUAUUGUAACAUCCUGGGGCAGAGGAGGUGGGCAGCGUUAGCCACAGGCAAAUCUACACUCUUCACUGACUGUUCAGAAACUUCUGUCCUGCAUCCUGGAACAAAUUUUAUUCCACUUCAAAGCAGCCAGUUCUCUAAUUGUUUAGAAGGCUGCAGAUAGAGGUCAAUAUCAAUCUACAUGGCAGUAAUCAUAUUUAAGCACGUUUUCGCGCAUGUCCUACAAAUUGCAUUUAAUUGAUCUAAUGAACUUGUCCUUUUCUACCUUCAGGCAGACAAGCUUCUGUGGGAAAAUUAACAGAAUUAAAACAUAUUUAGUUAAAAGCAAUUUAUAAGCGCAUUUUUUUUACACAAAGACAUUAUAAAGUGUUUUGCAUUUAAUGACGCAGUAUAAAUAUCAAAGUUUAAAAAAAACAAAAGCUAGGCAAUUACUCUGUUUCCUUAGUCUGUCUUCACAUGCUGAAUGAAUGAAACAUACAUUUUUAAAUCCCUUUGACCUAAUUUUCAUUCAACAAAACAGUUUUCCUUUCAUGGCUGUAUUUUUUAGAUGAAUGAGCAUUCCAAUCUCUACUUCUUAGGGAAUUCAAUUUUUGAAAAGUUUUUAGCAGUAAAAAAACACCUGAAAACUGUAAAUAAAGUAUUGGGGAAUGAAAGGUAGACACGGGAUGAUCAAAUAUACAGUAAUUACAUUUUAAAAGCCCUUCAAGAUGUAUGAUGCAAUCCAGUCUUAACAUCUAGUAACUAUUACAGCACCUAAAGACAGGGUGAAGAAACAAAGUGAUGAUGAUACAAUCACUCUUUUAUAUUGCAGUUUUAAAUACAAAUGUAAAUCUGUCAUAUUUUUUAACCGAUCAUUUUACUAAGUGAUAGAAUUAUAGUUAUGACAAUUAAAGUCAUUCAGUGAUUCAGACUUUUAAAAUCAGUCUGCACAUAAAUUGUUACAAAACAUGUAAAUGCAGACAUGAUGUGAAACUGACAUCUGAAGGACAUCUGGAAGGACAAAAAGUAAUCUAAAAUGUUAUGGCCUGCUUCGUCUAAUAGGCUGUAAUAUAAAAAAGAAACAACAUGUAGUAAAUGUGACCAACAGCCUGUAAAAGAACCAAUUUAAACAGACUAAAAUGCUGGUGUUUGGAAUCUCCUGAACAUUCCAUAUAAUAUCAGAAACAUAGUGAUGUGCUGUUGGUAACACUGCCCACCUACACUGAAACAAGCAGCCUCAGUAUCAUGACCUGACUUCAUGAGUUUUACAAUGACUGAAUGGAGUUAAAGUUGAAAUCACUGUGACUUAAGCAAUGACUAUCCAUCAACAAUGCCCUGUAUCAUAUGCCUGAUAUGGUUUUUCUUAGUUAUCUGUGAAAUGACGGGCUAGAAAAUCAGAAAGGAGAUUCACAAAGCUGCCAAAAUGAUCAAUAUUCAAUAGUCAAAAAAAAGAGACCACAUUGAGACAUCAACAGAAAACAAGGCAGUGAUUAAAAAACAAACAAAAAAACAGUUCUCAUUCCCGUAAACAUCCUUUAAAAGCCUCCUAAAGGUUCCUCUUGAUUAUUGUCAGACACAUUAUCAUGUUUAAUAAAAAAGAAUCAGUGUUAAAGAAAAUAUUGUACUCUAAUAGCUUCCUGUUUCUUUUGGUUCUCGUUAAAACCAAGACACAUCUAGCUGAAAUAAACUAAACAAGAUCAAGAUUUUCAUAUUGUUCAUUAUAUUCAUAUAUUACAGGCUACAUAACUGAAGAGGCUUGUGCAUAUUACUGGUUAAAAUCAGGAGGGCUCGUGGCAGACUGGGGCAGUGAGAUUUAACAUGAUGCUUAAAAGCAGCUCCAGUGUUAGCGUAGAGAGCAGAGGCUGGACUGCACACAGCAGCACCAAAACUAAAGACAAAUGCUCUGAAAUAAAGAAUGACGAAGUCAAAUCUAUUUACAGCAAAUGGUCUUAAAAACACGCAGAUGACUCCUCAAAUCAUUGACAGGCCCUUCUUCUGUCCUGAUGCGCAGAAGUUUUUAUUUACCGCCAUCGCCCUGGACAGAAGGGUUACACUAAUCUGUAUUUGGACGUUUUAAAUGUCCCUGAAAUAGUGAAAUGGGUGAAAGGACUUCAAAUGAUUUACAUUAAAGGAAAACAAGGAGCUUAUCUCCGGCUGUUAGACUUCUAUACUUUAUAGAUGGAGUCAUUCUUUUUGUGACCUUGACAUAAACUCAAGGCAAAAUGCCAAAUAUCUGCACAACUAAAAAGACUUUCAGCUUCAAAAUUUAUGGUGAGAAUUGGAAACAGCCAUUUGACAAAGCUAAAAUUCUACCCCAAGCUCCACUAACCAGGUUUUUCCAGAGCUUUUAGACAUCUCAUUGAAGAUCAACACAUGACGCUUGUAGGGCUGGACCCGAAUAGCCAAAUACCCAAAUAUUUGGUCGCUGUGCCGGUAUCGGGAUAGCAAUUUUGAUCUCCAAAUAUUCUGGGUCUUAGCAUAAAAAUCCAGAUU